rnacentral:rRNA from 1 species
UACAGAGGUGGCAAGCGUUGUUCGGAAUUACUGGGCGUAAAGGGCGAGUAGGUGGCCAUCUAAGUCAGACGUGAAAUCCCCCGGCUUAACCUGGGAACUGCGUCUGAUACUGGACGGCUAGAGUUUGGGAGAGGGAUGCAGAAUUCCAGGUGUAGCGGUGAAAUGCGCAGAUAUCGGAAGGAACACCAGUGGCGAAAGCGGCUUCCUGGUCCAGCACCGACGUUCAGGCACGAAAGCGUGGGGAGCAAACAGG